rnacentral:misc_RNA from 1 species
AUUAAACAAGCUAGCAAAACCGAAUAUUUAAUAAUUUCCCUUGAUUUAUCAGGAGAAAACCUAAAUUUGGGAUCUGUAUUUGAAACAGUAUAUUAUACAUUUGAGGAAAACAGAACGGCCCAACCAACCUAAAGAGUCUUUCUUACAAGGGCCUGGGAUUCACAAGCCCAGUAUAAGAGUCUUCCUUGCAACACAUGAUUA